GUUUGAGGAAAGUAUGUAGCCAUGGAAACCAGACGCACCAAUUUGACUCAUGCGGACACGCUGCGAGUAGGAGAGCGGGGCAGCCGUGAUAUCAGCCCACACACUGGCACGAGGAGAAGGAGAGAGAACGACGCGGGCAGGAUGACCGAAAGGCCGCCGCGAGGCCGAGAACCAGACACCCCCCGGGGGUGGAACAGAGACAUGGACGUGAGCUUCACCACCUUCAAGGGAAGAGAGGGAGAGACUGAGUGGACAGAGAGAGAGAGGAGAAGAGAGAUGCCAAAGCGUCCCAAUGGCAGGGUGGUGUCCAUGCUGGAGCCAGGUCCUGUGGUGGAACGGGAGGGAGAAAUGGGAAAAGGAGACACCUUUCCCAGGAUGAGAAGACCCAGCAAAGACAGAGAUAGAAGAGCGAACGUCAUUCCAGAACAGGAGAGGAGGGGGAGAGACCGGGAGGUGGAGAGGGGGACAGACAGAAUCCAAGAGAGACAGGGAAGGAUUGAAUCUGGCAACGGCGGCAGAGAGACGGACAGAGAUAUGGCCCGGAAGAGGGACAAGGACAUUCAGAGGUAUAGAGAGGAGGAGAGGCUAAGGGAGAGGGAAAGAGCACGGCUGAUAGAGGACUGGAAGAGAAAUGUGCAGAGAAGCUUGGACAGGGAGGACAGGAGAAGGGAGGAAGUGAGGGAAUGUGACCCUAGCAGCCAAGAGAGGAGGCGUGAGCGGAACACCGAGGGCAAUGACCCACGUGGAAAGCGGGAGAUGGACAGAGAGAGAGAAAGACAGAGACCAAGUGACAGACCAUUUCGAUUUUACUCUCCCCAGCGACAGAGAGUGACAGGAGAGGAGAGAAGGAUGGACAGUAUGAGAGGGGUUAACAGGGACAUGAGAGAAUGCACGAGAGAAGGACGGAGGGAUACAAGAAGCGAGGGCGAAAGCGACGGAGGCAGAGGGGAGAUAAGGAGAAGAGAGGAAAACUCUGUGACACUGGAACACAAGCACAGUAGGAGCGAGGGAGACAAUGAAGGAGAUGGGAGAAGAGAGAGAGUGAGACAGAGACAGAAAGACAGAGAAAGAGAAAGAGGGAGAGAGGCAGAGCAUUACAGACAGAGGGAGGGGGAGAGGGAGAGACAAAAGGGCAGAUAUUAUGGCAGAGACAGACCAAGAGAGAGAGAGAGGGAGAUGGAGAGCAUCACGGAAACGCAGAGAGAUGAAUUUAGCGAGACACAGCGGAGGGGGAGGGAUGACAGAGGUGGCAGAGAGAGGGAAGAUGGCCGUCCAUCCUCAAGAGAUGACGUGGGGCCGCGUAGAGAAGGCGACCAGCUUACCGAGAGGCAUACAUACUCAGAGCGGGAGAGAGAGCAAAGGAGACCAAGAGAGAGGGAAAGGCAACGAGAGGACAGAGGGAACCAUUCACCGAGCAGACCGCAGGUUAGGACGCAGCAGACGGCCCAGGGCAGUGGGGAGUUGAUAUCAGGGAGUGACCUGGAGAGCGAGCGCAGGCGGAGAGGAGCGAGGGACGGCACUGAAGGGAGAGAGUCAGGAAAGGAGAGCACUCCAGAGAGAGAGCGAGAGAGGAGAAGACAGAGAGAGCAGGACUUUUACAGACCCGCUCCGGUCCACGAAGAAAACAAGGUGCCUGUCAGUGAAGAGGUGGCAACACAAGAGGAAGAAAAGAGGGGGAGAGGUCACAAUGAAGGGGAGAGAGAAAUGAGCAAGACGGGAGCUGAGAGAGGUGAGAAGCCAGAGACAAAGACCAUGAGGAGAAUGUGGCUGGUGCCUGGCUCUGGGAGAGCAAGAAACUCCAGAGAAUCUUCGCAAGAGGAAGAGCUGACUGAGAGAAAGAGCGAGACAGAAAGAGCCACAGAGACGGCAAGCGAGAGGCUGGAAGACAGGUACAGGAAACUGGAGAGAGCUGGAGAGUUUGUGGAGAACAGAGGCAGAGACGGGGAGAAAGAGGGCGGGUUUGAGAGGAGGGAGGGGGAGUCAGAGUCUGAGAGCACCGAUGAGAAGGAGGCAAACGUGACGGAGGAGAGUGACCGAGAGAGGGAGGACGGGAGUGACAGUGGCGAUCGCCUGGGAAGUGAGGGCCUGAGCGACCGAGAGAGCGUGGGAGUGUGGCGGGUGUCACCUUCCUUGGAGGAUGGAUUUGUGACCGUCUCCAGUGGAGGGGAGGACGUGGAGGAGGAGGAGGAGGAAAACUUUGAGGACUGCAAGGAAUUCUGGGACAGCGGGGUCCGAGAUGACGCCACCAGUCAUUCCUACAGAGUUCCCGAGAGGGAGAGAGGUGUAGACGGAUCGGAGGAAAGGAUUGUAAAGUCAGAUAAGGCUGGUACUGUCUCCUGUGUGGGCGGGAACAAGCUUCCCAGAAAAGAGGCAAUCAAAAGGGCUUACCUUGAUCUGGAUAACCUAGAAUCAGUGCGUGACAAUCAGACCGAACACUCCAACCAAGAGUCCAUCAACCGUAGGUCUCUUGACCUCACUGGAGACAGACAACCCAAACAGCAACCACCUCUGUCCAAAAACGGGGAAAGGGUUGAAUAUGAGGCUGCUGAUGCGACACCAAUCCUGCAAGAGGCAGAGAGGGAGCUUGAGACACAAACACUAUCUAAUGAACAUUUACAAGAGGAAGUGACAUCAUCAGACAUCCAAACCAAUGCAAACUCCACACCAGAGGCCAAUCCACUCCCACCCAUGGGCACCGACAUGCCGGGUAGUUUUGAGGAUUAUGGGUACGCAGUUAUACCAGACCAGAGACAGGAACCUGAACCUUCCUCUGAACAGCCAGGUGGGGAGGAACAUGAGGAGAGCCACCAGUCGGAGGAGGUGUGGACCACGGCAGAGGAGAGGAAACGCCACUCCCAGAUGCCCCACCUCAAAUGGGCCAAGAACGUGGUGCGAGAGAUUCUCGGGGCCUCCGAGGACCGACGGCUGGAGGAGGUGUCUGAGGCUCAGACUGAGACACCCGCCGACCCAAACCAGACGUCUGAGGGCACGGAAGGUCUGCCAACACCGGAGCCCUUGCCAAUCUACGCCACGGUCCAGAAAAGACCACAAGAACAGGACACGGACCCCGAGCCGCCGCCGCCACCAGAGGAGGAGCCGGUGAACUGGGAGGAGCCAAGAGAGGACGAAAACGAUGAAAUGCGUUUCAGCUGGAAUGAAGUAGAUCUAAGGUAA
rnacentral:lncRNA from 1 species